GGUGAGGGAGCAGGUGGAGUGUCAGGAAUGGGAGGAAGGUGAGGAACAGGUGGAGUGAGGAAUGGGAAGGUGAGGGGGCAAGUGGAAUGUCAGAGGAAUGGGAAGGUGAGAAGGAGCAGGUGGAAUGUCAGGAGUGGGAAAGUGAGGGAGCAGGAAGAGUGUCAGGAAUGGGAAGAUGAAGAGGGAACAGGUGGAAUGUCAGGAGUGGGAAGGUGAGGAACAGAUGGAGUGUAAGGAAUGGGAAGGUGAGGAGGAGAUGGAGUGUCAGGAGUGGGAAAGUGAAGGAGGAGAUGGAAUGUCAGAGGAGUGGGAGAGGUGAAGAGGGAGUAGAUGGAAUGUCAGAGGAGUGGGAAAGGUGAGGAUGGAGCAAGUGGAGUGUCAGGAAUGGGAAGGUGAGGAACAGGUGGAGUGAGGAAUGGGAAGGUGAGAAGGAGCAGGUGGAAUGUCAGGAGUGGGAAGGUGAGGGAACAGGAAGAGUGUCAGGAAUGGGAAGGUGAGGAGGGAGCAGGUGGAAUGUCAGGAGUGGGAAGGUGAGGAGGAGCAGUGGAGUGAGGAAUGGGAAGGUGAGGAACAGAUGGAAUGUGAGGAAUGGGAAGGUGAGGAGGAGAUGGAGUGUCAGGAGUGGGAAAGUGAGGGAGCAGGUGGAAUGUCAGGAGUGGGAAGGUGAGGAUGGAACAAGUGGAGUGUCAGGAAUGGGAAGGUGAGGAACAGGUGGAGUGAGGAAUGGGAAAGUGAGGGAGCAGGUGGAAUAUCACAGGAAUGGGAAGGGCUCCAAGAGGGAUGUGUGAGGCAGCUGCUAAAAGGCUGGGAAGUUGUUUUGCACUUCCCAGCUCGGCCCUGGCACCAUCCCGAAGAUCCCAGCUGGGAAUUGCUGCUCUUCCCGAGCUGUGAAAUCCGGGGAUGCAUCUGCUGGAGGGAGAGGAGCUGCUGUGAGUGUCUGUGCCCAGAGCCAGCCCACACACAGCUGGAGCUCCUGGCACCCUCGGGGAGCUCUGCAUGGAAGGGUUUCCAUGGAUUUGGGCAGGGAUCCAUGCCAGGUCCUGGAAGCAGUGCCAGCUGUCCCUGAGGGAGCAUC